CAUUAGUUAGUUGGCGGGGUGACGGCCCACCAAGACAACGAUGGAUAGGGGUUCUGAGAGGAAGGUCCCCCACAUUGGAACUGAGACACGGUCCAAACUCCUACGGGAGGCAGCAGUGAGGAAUAUUGGUCAAUGGGCGCGAGCCUGAACCAGCCAAGUCGCGUGAGGGAAGACGGUCCUAUGGAUUGUAAACCUCUUUUGUCGGGGAGCAAAAGACGCCACGUGUGGCGUUCCGAGAGUACCCGAAGAAAAAGCAUCGGCUAACUCCGUGCCAGCAGCCGCGGUAAUACGGAGGAUGCGAGCGUUAUCCGGAUUUAUUGGGUUUAAAGGGUGCGCAGGCGGAAGAUCAAGUCAGCGGUAAAAUUGAGAGGCUCAACCUCUUCGAGCCGUUGAAACUGGUUUUCUUGAGUGAGCGAGAAGUAUGCGGAAUGCGUGGUGUAGCGGUGAAAUGCAUAGAUAUCACGCAGAACUCCGAUUGCGAAGGCAGCAUACCGGCGCUCAACUGACGCUCAUGCACGAAAGUGUGGGUAUCGAACAGGAUUAGAUACCCUGGUAGUCCACGCUGUAAACGAUGA
rnacentral:rRNA from 1 species